rnacentral:rRNA from 1 species
GAUGAACGCUAGCGAUAGGCUUAACACAUGCAAGUCGAGGGGCAGCAUGGUCUUAGCUUGCUAAGACUGAUGGCGACCGGCGCACGGGUGCGUAACGCGUAUGCAACUUGCCUCACAGAGGGGAUAACCCGUCGAAAGACGGACUAAUACCGCGUACACUUGGAGGGAGGCAUCUUCCACCAAGGAAAUGAAAUUCGCUGUGAGGUAGGCAUGCGUCCCAUUAGCUAGUUGGUGAGGUAACGGCUCACCAAGGCAACGAUGGGUAGGGGAACUGAGAGGUUGAACCCCCACACUGGUACUGAGACACGGACCAGACUCCUACGGGAGGCAGCAGUGAGGAAUAUUGGUCAAUGGGCGAGAGCCUGAACCAGCCAAGUCGCGUGAAGGAUGACUGUCUUAUGGAUUGUAAACUUCUUUUGUAGGGGAAUAAAGAGAGGCACGUGUGCCUCAGUGAAUGUACCCUACGAAUAAGCAUCGGCUAACUCCGUGCCAGCAGCCGCGGUAAUACGGAGGAUGCGAGCGUUAUCCGGAUUUAUUGGGUUUAAAGGGUGCGUAGGCGGCCUGUUAAGUCAGCGGUGAAAUCUAGGAGCUUAACUCCUAAAUUGCCAUUGAUACUGGCGGGCUUGAGUGUAGAUGAGGUAGGCGGAAUGCGUGGUGUAGCGGUGGAAUGCAUAGAUAUCACGCAGAACUCCGAUUGCGAAGGCAGCUUACUAAGGUACAACUGACGCUGAAGCACGAAAGCGUGGGUAUCAAACAGG